UACGUAGGGGGCUAGCGUUGUCCGGAUUUAUUGGGCGUAAAGAGCGUGUAGGCGGCCAGGUAGGUCUGCUGUGAAAACUCGAGGCUCAACCUCGAGACGUCGGCGGAAACCAUCUGGCUAGAGUCCGGAAGAGGAGAGUGGAAUCCUGGUGUAGCGGUGAAAUGCGUAGAUAUCAAGUGGAACACCAGUGGCGAAGGCGAGUCCCUGGACAACUCCUGACACUGAGGCACGAAAGCUAGGGGAGCAAACAGG
rnacentral:rRNA from 1 species